UAUAAAGAAAGGAUCCAUUUAUAUAGCGCGCUCAUAACUCAACUAUUUGUAUAAAACUACCAUUAACUAAUCUGAGAUGAUGCUGCAUCAACUUAAAUCUUACAGAAAUUGAACAAACAUCUGGACCAGAUUAAACAGACAUGGUUUCACCUGAAUCUUUCAGAACUCUCAGAGACUUAAAAAUUUAUACUGUACCAUGUUUUAAAGGCAUGGCAAACCUUUAGACCGGUCAGUCUCCAAGAGCCCUUAGUAACACAGGUAAAAACCUUUUGUCCAUGAUGUCUGAUUCAGGCUAUAUACCACAAUUUAAAAUAACACAUAAUGUGAGACAUAGAAGACACAAGCAGUAGUUAUUACACUGGAUCAUUUAAAAGGAACCUGUUGCAAUAAAUAGGUUAGUUUACAGUGCAAAAUAAAGCAUGUGUUGGACCGCUGAAAAUGUAAAUGUUGCUCUUAUUUUCAAACAAAAAUCAUAUUUACAGUAUGGAUCCUUUGCAACAAACACACAGGGCAGGGAAGAUGUGCUGAUUGGUGUUUCUAUACAAUUAAUCCCAUAUGGGGAAUUAACUUCCAAAUACUAAUGAAGUGACUUUUUGUCUCAGUUAUAAAAUAUACUGAGCUCAUCAUGCAAACAAUGCAACACAUUUACACUAUCCCACUCUCAUAAUAAGUGUAGUGGGCUUAUGGUAUUUUUAAAGCAACAAUC